rnacentral:rRNA from 1 species
AGAGUUUUGAUCCUGGCUCAGAUUGAACGCUGGCGGCAGGCCUAACACAUGCAAGUCGAACGGUAACAGGAAUCAGCUUGCUGAUUCGCUGACGAGUGGCGGACGGGUGAGUAAUGUCUGGGAAACUGCCUGAUGGAGGGGGAUAACUACUGGAAACGGUAGCUAAUACCGCAUAACGUCGCAAGACCAAAGAGGGGGACCUUCGGGCCUCUUGCCAUCGGAUGUGCCCAGAUGGGAUUAGCUAGUAGGUGGGGUAACGGCUCACCUAGGCGACGAUCCCUAGCUGGUCUGAGAGGAUGACCAGCCACACUGGAACUGAGACACGGUCCAGACUCCUACGGGAGGCAGCAGUGGGGAAUAUUGCACAAUGGGCGCAAGCCUGAUGCAGCCAUGCCGCGUGUAUGAAGAAGGCCUUCGGGUUGUAAAGUACUUUCAGCGGGGAGGAAGGGAGUAAAGUUAAUACCUUUGCUCAUUGACGUUACCCGCAGAAGAAGCACCGGCUAACUCCGUGCCAGCAGCCGCGGUAAUACGGAGGGUGCAAGCGUUAAUCGGAAUUACUGGGCGUAAAGCGCACGCAGGCGGUUUGUUAAGUCAGAUGUGAAAUCCCCGGGCUCAACCUGGGAACUGCAUCUGAUACUGGCAAGCUUGAGUCUCGUAGAGGGGGGUAGAAUUCCAGGUGUAGCGGUGAAAUGCGUAGAGAUCUGGAGGAAUACCGGUGGCGAAGGCGGCCCCCUGGACGAAGACUGACGCACAGGUUCGAAAGCCGUACCUUUUG